rnacentral:rRNA from 1 species
GGUUUCCUGAUCAACGCUAAUCGGAUCAGGGUUAGUCGGGGCCUAAGACAAACCCGAAAGGGGUAGUCGAUGGACAACUGUUUAAUAUUACAGUACCAGCUUUCAUUAAAAAGGGGACGGAACAUUAUAAGAUUCGCGUACUGACGGAAUAGUACGUUAAAUCCUGUUAGGCAGGAGAUAGUACACCAAGCCUUCGGGUGAGGUGAUAGUAAUCGGAUCGUGUUUCCAAGAAAAGCCGAAGAAAGCUGCCCGUACCGCAAACCGACACAGGUAGUCGAGGAGAGAAUCCAAAGGUGCUCGAGUGAAUCAUGGCUAAGGAACUAGGCAAAUUAACCCUGUAACUUCGGGAGAAAGGGUCCCUACAGCAAUGUAGGGCGCAGUGAAACGGCCCAGGCGACUGUUUAUCAAAAACACAUGGCUCUGCUAAAUCGAAAGAUGACGUAUAGGGCCUGACACCUGCCCGGUGCUGGAAGGUUAAGAGGAGAGGUUAGGAGUAAUCCGAAGCUUUGAAUUGAAGCCCCAGUAAACGGCGGCCGUAACUAUAACGGUCCUAAGGUAGCGAAAUUCCUUGUCGGGUAAGUUCCGACCUGCACGAAUGGUGUAACGAUCUGGGCACUGUCUCAGCCAUGAACUCGGUGAAAUUGUAGAUCCGGUGAAGAUGCCGGAUACCCGCAACGGGACGAAAAGACCCCGUGAACCUUCACUACAGCUUAACAUUGACAUUGGAUAAACAAUGUGUAGGAUAGGUGGGAGGCUGCGAAGCGGUUUCGCCAGGAAUCGUGGAGCCACCGUUGAAAUACCACCCUUUGUUUAUUCGAUGCCUAAUCCCGGUUAUUCGGGAGACAGUGUUUGGUGGGUAGUUUGACUGGGGUGGUCGCCUCCAAAAGCGUAACGGAGGCUUCCAAAGGUACCCUCAGCAUGCUUGGUAACCAUGCGUAGAGUGCAAUAGCAUAAGGGUGCUUGACUGUGAGACUUACAAGUCGAGCAGGAACGAAAGUUGGGUAUAGUGAUCCGGCGGUUCCGUAUGGAAGGGCCGUCGCUCAAAGGAUAAAAGGUACUCCGGGGAUAACAGGCUGAUCACUCCCAAGAGCUCACAUCGACGGAGUGGUUUGGCACCUCGAUGUCGGCUCGUCACAUCCUGGGGCUGAAGAAGGUCCCAAGGGUUCGGCUGUUCGCCGAUUAAAGUGGCACGCGAGCUGGGUUCAGAACGUCGCGAGACAGUUCGGUCUCUAUCUGUUGUGGGCGUUGGAAACUUGAGAGGACCUGACCUUAGUACGAGAGGACCGGGUUGGACAAACCUCUGGUGUAUCUGUUGUAGCGCCAGCUGCAUCGCAGAGUAGCUAUGUUUGGAUGAGAUAAGUGCUGAAAGCAUCUAAGCACGAAACUCACCUCAAGAUGAGGUUUCCUUUAAGGGCCGUUCAAGACUAGGACGUUGAUAGGCUGCAGGUGUAAAGAUGGUAACAUCUGAGCCGAGCAGUACUAAUUGCCCGAAAGCUUUCUAC